AAAAAUGAUUUGAUUAAACAUAAAAUUUUCAAAUUUGAUUUAAGCUGCAGAAAUUUUGAAUAACAGUUUAUACUUUAAGUACUUUUGCAAUUAUUUUAAAUAUUGAAAAAAAUGUAUCAGAAUAGGUAAUGCAAAAUUAAAAACUCCCAUUUGAAAAAAAAAUACAGCAUUUCUAUGCAGUAUUUCCUGAAAAUCAUAUUAAAUAAUAAAGAAGUUUUUCCCAUUCCUCAAAAAUCGUAAUAAAAGGUGAACAGAAACAUUUUGAGUUUACAAAUAUACAUCUGGCAGGAAUAUAUUUGGUUCCAGCUGUCUUAUUUCAUACAUAUGUGGUAUCAACUGUCUUGUAACUGAUAAAAAUAUUAAAUUGUGCCAUUGAAAUCAGGCAGGAUUUUAGUUGAAAGUCAAAGUUUAGAGUUAAAUUAUCAAAAGUUGCCUUCUCUUGGUAUCUUCCGCCUCUUUUGUACAACCUUUAUAUUGUUACACAUGUCUCUGUGAUGAAAAUUAACCAUUGCACCAUUGUAAACAACUAUUUGUAUCCAUUGACUUUAUGAAUAAUUAAUACAGCUGCCAUACACAUGUGCUAUCAAAUAAAUAUAAUAAUAAU
rnacentral:lncRNA from 1 species